GGAAAAUUCAUUACCUCUCUUUCUUUCUCAUUUCUCAUUAAUUUUGUGUUAUUUACAAUAAUCACAGGCGUCCGGAAGGAUUUUGAUUAUGAGGAUUUGAGUACUAUCGGUUACUGAUCAUUGUGGACAGUGGACUACAAAAAAUCGUAUUACUGGAGCUGAUGUAAAACCAACACAGAAGAAAAGUCUGAUUUCUGCAAGAUUCUUAAAGACCUGAAACUUCCUACUGGUUUCUCGUCGAACAUUAGCAACAAUGUUAAUAUGAAAAAACUGAGUAUCAGUAGCUUGAAAUCACACGAUUAUCACGUCAUUAUGAUGUAUUUGCUGCCAGUUCUACUUCAACAUGCUUUUCCUCGUCACAAAGAGUUGCGAACAGCACUUCACCAAAUCAGCUUGUAUUUCAGAAUUUUGUGUUCUAAAGUCUUGUGUAAAAGUGAUCUCGAAAAGGCUCGAUUCAUAGUUGCGGAAGCAAUGUGUAUGCUUGAGAAAUACUUUCCAGCUUCCUUUUUUGAUAUCAGUGUCCACAAUAUGGUUCAUUUGGCAGAUGAGGCUUUGAUUUGUGGACCCGUCAGGUUUCGGUGGAUGUAUCCUUUUAAAAGGGCAAUGAAGGACUGCAAAAACAUACCAAAUAACAAAAGAUUCAUUGAAGGGUCUAUUUCAGUGUCCA